GACGAACGCUGGCGGCGUGCCUAAUACAUGCAAGUCGGGCGGACAAAGAGGAGUUUGCUCCUCGAUGUUAGCGGCGGACGGGUGAGUAACACGUGGGCAACCUGCCUGUAAGACUGGGAUAACUUCGGGAAACCGGAGCUAAUACCGGAUAAUGCUUUUGAACUCAUGUUCGACAGCUGAAAGAUGGUUUCGGCUAUCACUUACAGAUGGGCCCGCGGCGCAUUAGCUAGUCGGUGAGGUAACGGCUCACCAAGGCAACGAUGCGUAGCCGACCUGAGAGGGUGAUCGGCCACACUGGGACUGAGACACGGCCCAGACUCCUACGGGAGGCAGCAGUAGGGAAUCUUCUGCAAUGGACGAAAGUCUGACGGAGCGACGCCGCGUGAGUGAUGAAGGUUUUCGGAUCGUAAAACUCUGUUGUUAGGGAAGAACAAGUACCGGAGUAACUGCCGGUACCUUGACGGUACCUAACCAGAAAGCCACGGCUAACUACGUG
rnacentral:rRNA from 1 species